rfam:Oryza meridionalis cultivar OR44 (W2112) chromosome 1, whole genome shotgun sequence.
UUUUAGCACAUCUAUAAGUUUGCGUAUGCAAUAUUGAUGUCCGUCUUAUUUAAAAAAAAUAGAUUAGUAUUUUUGUUGUUAUUAUAUAAUAAAACAUGAAUAUUACCUUAUGUGUGACUUAUGUUUUUAAUUUUUUUAAAAAAUAAGAUGGACGAUCAAAGUUGGACAUAAAAACUCAUGGUUGCACUUAAA